AUUGAACACUGGCGGCAGGCCUAACACAUGCAAGUCGAACGGUAACAGGAAGAAGCUUGCUUCUUUGCUGACGAGUGGCGGACGGGUGAGUAAUGUCUGGGAAACUGCCUGAUGGAGGGGGAUAACUACUGGAAACGGUAGUUAAUACCGCAUAACGUCGCAAGACCAAAGAGGGGGACCUUCGGGCCUCUUGCCAUCGGAUGUGCCCAGAUGGGAUUAGCUUGUUGGUGGGGUAACGGCUCACCAAGGCGACGAUCCCGAGUUGGUCUGAGAGGAUGACCAGCCACACUGGAACUGAGACACGGGCCAGACUCCUACGGGAGGCAGCAGUGGGGAAUAUUGCACAAUGGGCGCAAGCCUGAUGCAGCCAUGCCGCGUGUAUGAAGAAGGCCUUCGGGUUGUAAAGUACUUUCAGCGGGGAGGAAGGGGGUAAAGUUAAUACCUUUGCUCAUUGACGUUACCCGCAGAAGAAGCACCGGCUAACUCCGUGCCAGCCGCCGCGGUAA
rnacentral:rRNA from 1 species